rnacentral:rRNA from 1 species
AGAGUUUGAUCAUGGCUCAGGACGAACGCUGGCGGCGCGCCUAACACAUGCAAGUCGAGUGAGAACCGGAGCUUCGGCUCCGGGGACAGCGGCGAACGGGUGAGUAACACGUGGAUAACCUGCCCUCGGCACCGGAAUAGCCCGGGGAAACUCGGAUUAAUGCCGGAUAGCCCCACAUCCCUGCGGGGAACGUGGGAAAAGGUAGCUUCGGCCUCUGGCCGAGGAUGGGUCCGCGGUGGAUUAGCUUGUUGGUGGGGUAAUGGCCCACCAAGGCGACGAUCCAUAGCUGGUCUGAGAGGACGAUCAGCCACACUGGGACUGAGACACGGCCCAGACUCCUACGGGAGGCAGCAGUGGGGAAUCUUGCGCAAUGGGCGAAAGCCUGACGCAACGACGCCGCGUGCGGGAAGAAGGCCUUAGGGUUGUAAACCGCUUUCAGGAGGGACGAAGCCACUCGGGUGAAUAGCCCAGAGGGUGACGGUACCUCCAGAAGAAGCCCCGGCUAACUACGUGCCAGCAGCCGCGGUA